rnacentral:miRNA from 1 species
ACUUGUAAAAAUGCAGAUUCCUGGAUUUCACUCUGGACUGACUCAAUCAGAACAAUUGGAGGUGAGGUCCAGGAAUCUGCAUUUUAAAGAACUCCCCAGGAGAUUUUUAUAC